rnacentral:tRNA from 1 species
GGGGUUGUGGCUCAGUGGUAGAGUUCUUGCCUAGCAUGCAGGAGGCACUAGGUUCAAUCCUCAGCACCA